GUCUCUGUGGUGCAUCUGGGUAGUGCAUUCAGCUACUAACUGAAAGGUUGGUGGUUCGAGCCCACCCAGGGAUG
rnacentral:tRNA from 1 species